rnacentral:rRNA from 1 species
UACGUAGGUGGCAAGCGUUUUCCGGAAUUAUUGGGCGUAAAGCGCGCGCAGGCGGUUAUGUAAGUCUGAUGUUAAAGCCCGGGGCUCAACCUCGGUUCGCAUUGGAAACUGUGUAACUUGAGUGCAGAAGAGGAAAGUGGUAUUCCACGUGUAGCGGUGAAAUGCGUAGAUAUGUGGAGGAACACCAGUGGCGAAGGCGACUUUCUGGUCUGUAACUGACGCUGAGGUGCGCAAGCGUGGGGAGCAAACAGG